AAUGAACGCUGGCGGCAGGCCUAACACAUGCAAGUCGAACGGAUCCUUCGGGAUUAGUGGCGGACGGGUGAGUAACGCGUGGGAACAUACCCUUUGGUACGGAAUAGCCUCGGGAAACUGGGAGUAAUACCGUAUGUGCCCUUCGGGGGAAAGAUUUAUCGCCAAAGGAUUGGCCCGCGUUGGAUUAGGUAGUUGGUGGGGUAAUGGCCUACCAAGCCGACGAUCCAUAGCUGGUUUGAGAGGAUGAUCAGCCACACUGGGACUGAGACACGGCCCAGACUCCUACGGGAGGCAGCAGUGGGGAAUCUUAGACAAUGGGGGAAACCCUGAUCUAGCCAUGCCGCGUGAUCGAUGAAGGCCUUAGGGUUGUAAAGAUCUUUCAGUUGGGAAGAUAAUGACGGUACCAACCAGAAGAAGCCCCGGCUAACUCCGUG
rnacentral:rRNA from 1 species